GGAGGAGGAGGAGGAGGAGGAGGAGGAGGAGGGUGAGGAUGAGGAUGAGGCAGCAGAAGAAGAAGAAGAAGAGGAGGAAGAGGAGGAAAAAGCAGCAGCAGCUGAGGAAGAAGAAGAGGAGGAGGAUGAAGAAGAAAUAGAAGUGGAGGUGAAGGUCCCAGCAGCAGAGGAGGAAGAUGAAAAAGAAGUGGAAGAAGAAGAAGCGGAAAAGGAUGAAGAGGAGGAAGAAAAAGAAGAAGAAGAAGAAAUAGCUGAAGUCAAGGAGAAGGAGGAUAAGGAGCCAGAAGAAAAACCAGAAGCAAAAGUUAAACCAGACAAAAAGGAAAAGAAAGAAGAGAAAAUAGCAGAUGAAGAAGCUGCUGAAGAGGAAGAGGAGGAGGAGGAGGCCUCUGACAAAACUGCUGCACUAGAGAAAGAGGAGGAAGAAGAGGAUGAAAAAGCUGUUGAGACAACAGAAGAAAAGGCAGAGGAACAUGCUGAUGAAGAUGAUAAGGAGGAGGAAAAAGAAGAGGAGGAUGUGAGUCCUGCUGCUGCAGCUGCUGAUGUUAUCGGCGCACAAGUUAUUGACAAAGACAAAGAUGCUGAAGAUGCUCCAGCUCCAGACGAAGAACCUGUUGCCCCUGCUGUCGCUGCUGCUGAUGAUAAUGAGAAAGCUGAUGAUGUGAGUGACACCGGGGACGAUGGAGUCGCUGACACUGACGCCAGGCCUGAGUUUCCAGCAGAUGAGGCCACUUCCUCUGAAGAAGCUAAAGACGACAAGGACGAUGAUGAGAGCGACGAUACAGACGAGGCAAUUACUGUUCCAGCAGAAGCUGAUGAAAGCGAUAAGGAUGAUAAGGAGGAAGAUGAAGAGGCUGCAGAUGGAAAAACAGAUGAAGCUCCUGCCACUGCUGAUGAAAAAGAUGAGGAGGAGGAUGAAGAAGACCUCAAAGACACCGAUGCAGCUGAAACUGCAGACGAGGACGAGGAACCUGAAAAAGUAACUGAGCCAGUUGCUGCUGAUGCUGCAGCUGAUGAUGAUGAUGAUGAUGAUGAUGCAACAGAAGAUGACCAAAAAGACAAAGAUGACCAAACUGAAGAAAAGGAGGAAAAAGAUGAUACUGAACUUGAUCUAGGAAUCAUAGAGGAACCAGUGAUAGUGAUUGGUGCUCCACCACAAGUAACAGAGACCCAAGAACCAGAAGUGGAUCAGAAGGAGGAAGCUGAAGCAGAAGAACCUGAAGCUGAAGAAUCCACAGAACCAGCUCCUGAAGGUAAAGAAUGUGAAGAAAGUGCAAAGUUCCAGUAAGGCCACAAUACAAUACUGCUUUGCCCAGUAAUUCAGAGCUAAGGAACAAAUGGUAAGAACUUGUCUAUGAAAUACCACCAGUGAAGUACAACUGAGAUAGGUAGNUGUUUAUGUUGCUCACCUAUAUGAUAAUGCAUGCUUCACUUUUAAUGAAAAUGGGCUGAAAUGCAUAUUUCACCUUCUGUGUUUAAUGUGACAGCUCAAUUGCAGGAUGAUGAUGAUGGUGAUGGUGGUGUAUUAAUAUGACAGUAGGUAGUCUUCACAGCUGGAGAGUUUAUGUUCAAUCAUUUCACAGUUUAUUUUUCAUCUAAGACUUAGGCCUGCUUUUCUGAAUAAAGAUUGACACUUGGCAACUCUUUGCUAAAAA
ensembl:lncRNA